rnacentral:rRNA from 1 species
GACGAACGCUGGCGGCGUGCUUAACACAUGCAAGUCGAACGGAAAGGCCCUGCUUGCUGGGUACUCGAGUGGCGAACGGGUGAGUAACACGUGGGUGAUCUGCCCUGCACUUCGGGAUAAGCCUGGGAAACUGGGUCUAAUACCGGAUAGGAGCCAUUUUUAGUGUGAUGGUUGGAAAGUUUUUUCGGUGUAGGAUGAGCUCGCGGCCUAUCAGCUUGUUGGUGGGGUAAUGGCCUACCAAGGCGGCGACGGGUAGCCGGCCUGGGAGGGUGGACGGCCACAGUGGGACUGGGACACGGCCCAGACUCCGACGGGUGGCAGAAGUGGGGAAUAUUGAUCAAGGGGCGCAAGCCUGAUGCAGCGACGCCGCGUGGGGGAUGACGGUCUUGGGGUUGGAAACUCCUUUCGCUAGGGACGAAGCUUUUUGUGACGGUACCUAGAUAAGAAGCACCGGCUAACUACGUG